rnacentral:rRNA from 1 species
GUCCACGCAGUAAACGAUGAUAGCUCGUUGUCGGCGAUACACAGUCGGUGACUAAGAGAAAUCGAUAAGCUAUCCACCUGGGGAGUACGUUCGCAAGAAUGAAACUCAAAGGAAUUGACGGGGGGCCCGCACAAGCGGUGGAGCAUGUGGUUUAAUUCGAUGAUACGCGAGGAACCUUACCAAGGCUUAAAUGUAGAUUGACCGUUUUUGGAAACAGAACUUUCGCAAGACAAUUUACAAGGUGCUGCAUGGUUGUCGU